rnacentral:rRNA from 1 species
GAUUAAGCCAUGCAUGUGUAAGUAUAAAUAGUUAACUUUGAAACUGCGAAUGGCUCAUUAUAUCAGUUAUAGUUUAUUUGAUGAAGAAUACUAAUUGGAUAACCGUAGUAAUUCUAGAGCUAAUACAUGUAUAAAGUCUUGUAGACUGCAUUUAUUAGAAUGAAAACCAUAGGUUUCGGCCUAUUCGUGAGUAAUAAUAACUAAUCAUAUCGUAUGCUUAUGUAACGAUGUGUCUUUCAAGUUUCUGCCCUAUCAC